GUGACUGUUCUGAACGUGUGAAAGCCGCCGGCUCGGAAGAAAUCCCCCUCCUCCAGGUUCAUAAUGUAUUGUACAAAUUGAAUACCAGAUGAUGAAUUGACAUUAGCUUCUCUGGGCUUGGGAACUUAACAGAUGAGGUACCUCUGCAGACCACAGCAACGCACAGAAGAUGCGACACUACCUCCUGGCACGCACACAGGGCCGCCGGCCCUUCCACUGCACCUCAGACGCCAACUCUGCUGCCCGUACCGGAUGCUGACUGAGAUGAUGGUGGGGAUUCUCAACCACUGGUGAUUCCCCCCUGUUGCAUCCACACGACUCCUGAAACAGAAUGCUACGGGCACCAGUGACAGUCACAACAAAGUUUAUUGCAAUGAGAGUAACCGAGGGAUCACGGAACAGGAGUGGGAGAAGGAUACUGCUCUCUAUCAGGAUUCCAAGCAUUUCAACUCUGUGGUAAGGGGCUUGUGAGAGAAAAUGGACUAUUAUUCCACGGGCUAAACGGGUCCCAUAAGUCCUGUAAAAUAUACAACCAAGUAUUUUCCCUGCUCCAUUCAAACGUACCAUUUGUGUUUUUCCUACCAGAACCUACUAAAUUGCUGAGUGAAAGCUGAAGAGAGUAAUAAAUACCAGCAUUCCUGGCUGUGCAAUCUAUACAUUUUCAUUUUAAGAGUAAUUCAAGCAUAAUCCACAUCUAAAAAAAUUAAAGAGAGACAGUAAAGGUUUUAAAGUUUUCUCUUUGAAAAGAUGGUAUCUUACAGUACAUACAAAAAUACUCUGAAAAUACAUACGACUUCAUUUACAAAACAC